rnacentral:rRNA from 1 species
GUGUACGGUCAUACCACCCUGAACUCACCCGAUCUCGUCUGAUCUUGGAAGCUACACAGGGUCGGGCCUGGUAAGUACUUGGAUAGGAGAAAGGAGGAUUGAUGUCAUUAAAUACA